rnacentral:lncRNA from 10 species
GAUUAAUUAGCUCUCAGGACUGCUGUGUCCAGAGUUGAUUCCUUCUGGUGGGUUCGUGGUGUUGCUGACUUGAAGAAUGAAGCCGCCGACCUUCACGAGCGCUGAUUGGUGUGUUUUACAGAGCAUGGAUUGGUGCGUUUUACAGAGCGCUGAUUGGUACAUUUCACAGAACUCGUGAGACAGUCGCAGGUGGCAUGAUUUGAUUUGUGUGAAGGCAAUGAAAUGAUACACAGAUACACCGAAGCCUCCCAAAAGAAUCCUGGUUCCAAGAUUCAAGAAGAUGGAUUAAUGUUUUUCCAUUAAUUGUUGGAAUUUAUGCCAUUUUUUUACUAUGUGCCAUCAAUUUUAAAGCACUUCUGAAAAGAGAUAACAAUCUACAAUAGCUGGCAUUUUAAAUUCAUAAAAAUAUAGUAUUUUCUUCUAUUUUUAUACAUUUAUGAUGCAUUAUUUCUUAUUUCCCAGGAAUUUUACUACCUUUGUUUUGAAUGAUUAAAAAGGAAACAUAGCACCUUUUUUCAACACA